ACCUGGAGGAGCCUGAGGGCCCAGGAGGAAAUCAAGAUGGCCGCACGAGGCGAGCGGAGGGACGCAGACGAGCAAUGCCAGAAGUCCACCACCGGCUUCUCACGUAUCAGAUAUAACAGCUAUUUAACUGGCACAUCUACACAGCCGUUCCUGACAGGAAGUGCAUUAAGACAGUGGAUGUAACUGAAGCUGCAGAUUUGGAGAGACAGCAUCCCAAAUGACCAACUGGGCAUGUGGCCAGAAUAUUGCAGAUCACUUGACAAUUGGAUGGCUUAUAACCAUACUGGAGUGAUGAGCAUUUUCGGAGCAGGUGUUAUGCAAAGGGCUGGAGCACAGAAGGAAUGAAGCUGUCUUUCAACAUUUUUACCUCAAGGGAAAUCAUACAGAACGAAUGGCAGAGACAGAUACCGAGCCAACAGAUGACAAGAGGACUAGCUCCAUUCUCUGGAAAAUACGAUGAUAAGAAACAGAUUUCAGCUGUUCCUUAAGUUUUCCCUCUACUGGACAACAAAGCUGCCAAGGAAUGAGGAUACGCAGAUUAGGACACACACGUAACCCCUCCACCUGCAGUGCGUCCUGACAAGUCAGUGUGGCUUUGAUUCAAGUACGGGAGACCUACCUGGGAAGCGAGAUCGUCUUCUUAUGUGAAACACUGUAUUCCGUAGAAGAAUCAAGUAAAGCAGCAUUCUUCAGCUGCCAUGGGCCAGAAUUGAAAGUAUCACACUAAAUUUGUGAGAAUGGACAGAACGGUAAAUGGAAAUAUAUAAAGAAGCGAUUUGCACUGGGACCUAAUCAAGACAACAAGAUCGAAGGUGGUGAAAAAACUGUUACUGUGAAACAAAAAACUCUCCAGCUGUUGGGUGACUUCAUGAAGGGACUCUCUUGUCCAACUGUAGAGUCCAAAGAUGUUUGAUGAAUUUGGGCUUGAUUCCAGCAGGUAUGGCUAUCCAAGGAGACUCAGUCUGCAGAAUGGAAAUACAGCCAAAGGAGUCCAUAGGCAUCAGCCUAGACUAGAAGUCAAGAGACGGAUGGAGCUGUGGUUUUAAAUGAUAUAUAGCAGAACCUCCUUGAGUAGCGAGAGAGUCCAGGUAACAGAGCUCAGCCUCCAUGGAUAAGCCUGUCAAAGUUAGGCAGAAUGUCAGGGCCCCAGCCAAGUGGGCUUGGGUGCAGGGAAAAGCUCUACAUCCAGAUGGAGUCUGAAGUGAUGAGAGAAAACCAAAACAGAUGUCUGGAUAUAUACAUAGAUUUAACCAACACAAGUGGGCUAAGGGGAAACUAUUCAUUCAGUAAGCAAACUGUGGGGGAAACAGGAAGCACGUGGACCCCAGGUCCUCUCCUCUUGCGAAGGGUGCAGAUGUAUUUUCUGCCAUGGUGAGAAUCAUUUCAGGCUUUGGUUGAGGUUUGAACUCGAAUGAAAGGGGCAUUUGUGAUUAUUGUUGAGUGGCACUAAAAAGACAUGAACUGAGCAAUUUAAAAAUAGUGCCAUGGCUUGGUAUAUAUAUAUUUUUAAAUGCAUAUAUGGGAUUCUUCCCAGGUGGCUCAGUGGUACAGAAUCAGCCUGUGAAUGCAGGAGAUGUGGGUUCGAUCCCUGGGUCCAGAAGAUCCCCAGGAGGAGGAAAUGGCAACCCACUCCAGUAUUCUUGCCUGGAGAAUUCCAUAGACCGAGGCGCCUGACAGGCUAUGGUCCAUGGGGUCACAAAAAAGUUGGACAUGGCUUAGUGACUAAACAACAACAACAACAUGGGAUUGUUGGGGAAAUUAUUUAUUAUGGUUUUAAUGUAUAGGCCCAAUAUAUUGGUGAAGUUUAAUUUAACUAUGAGUACAUUUUGACCUGAUCUUUAGGGUAAAUUUUGUAUUAAAAC
ensembl:lncRNA